GAUGAACGCUAGCUACAGGCUUAACACAUGCAAGUCGAGGGGAAACGGCAUUACGUGCUUGCACUUUUUGGACGUCGACCGGCGCACGGGUGAGUAACGCGUAUCCAACCUUCCCAUGACUAAGGGAUAACCUGCCGAAAGGCAGACUAAUACCUUAUGGUCUUCACUGACGGCAUCAGAUGUGAAGUAAAGAUUUAUCGGUUAUGGAUGGGGAUGCGUCUGAUUAGCUUGUUGGCGGGGUAACGGCCCACCAAGGCAACGAUCAGUAGGGGUUCUGAGAGGAAGGUCCCCCACAUUGGAACUGAGACACGGUCCAAACUCCUACGGGAGGCAGCAGUGAGGAAUAUUGGUCAAUGGGCGAGAGCCUGAACCAGCCAAGCAGCGUGCAGGAUGACGGCCCUAUGGGUUGUAAACUGCUUUUGUAUGGGGAUAAAGUCAAUCACGUGUGAUUGUUUGCAGGUACCAUACGAAUAAGGACCGGCUAAUUCCGUG
rnacentral:rRNA from 1 species